rnacentral:rRNA from 1 species
AUGGAGCCCGGCCGCGAGCCCACCGGCACGAUCGUCUUCGCCUCCGUCGGGGUCACCAGCUUCGGCUUCGACGUCUUCUCUGUCGCCGCCCCGCAGACUCCCGAGAGCGCGUCCGCAGCGGGGCUGGCGGAGCUCCGCCACACGGACGGCGUGUCCGUCAACUUCAACGCCCAGUUCGCGGACGACGGCGGCGAGGAGGUGGCCUUCGUGUCCGAGCGGACCGGCUCGGCGGGCCUGUUCCUGUGCCGCCCCGGGUCCGAGCGCGCCGUGCCGCUGCCGGCCGUCGAGGGGAGCCUGUUCCACGACCGCCCCACCGUGAGGGGCGGCCGGCUGUACUUCGUCUCCGCGCACGAGAAGCCGGCCGCGUGGUUCAGGAGCUGGGCGGCGGUGUACGCGACGGACCUGGCAAGCAAGGGCACGGUGCGGGUCACGCCGCAGGGCGUGGCAGACAUGAGCCCCGCCUUGUCCGCGUCCGGCCAGCUCCUCGCCGUCGCCUCGUACGGCGAGAGGCCGUGGGCGUUCGAUUUCCACGAGCUCGAGACGGAGGUCGCCGUCUUCCGUGCCGCCGACCCCGCCCGCCGCGUCGUCGUCGCUGCUCGGGGCGGCUGGCCGACCUGGCACGGGGAGGGCACGGUGUUCUUCCACCGUAUCGCCGAUGACGGCUGGUGGAGCGUUUUCCGGGUGGACAUCUCGCCGGAGACUCGACAGCCCCGCGGCGCCGAGACGCGCGUGACGCCGCCGGGCGUGCACUGCUUCACCCCUGCCGCCGCGGGCAGUGGCUGCCGUUGGAUUGCCGUGGCGACGCGGCGGAAGGGGCGGGGGCACCGCCACAUUGAGCUGUUCGACCUCGAGACGGAGCAAUUCACCUCGGUUACCUCUCUCCUCAACCCGGAGCUGCACCACUACAACCCAUUCUUCUCGCCGUCCGGCGAGCGCCUCGGGUACCACCGCUUCCGCGGCGCGGGCGCGCCGGGCGACUCGCUGAUCCCGUACCUGCAGCCGGUGCGCAGCCCGGUGAGCUCCAUCCGCAUGCUCCGCGUGCACGGCUCCUUCCCGUCCUUCUCGCCGGACGCGAAGUACUUGGCCCUCAACGGCGACUUCUUCAAGUCCCCCGGCGUGACGAUCCUCCGCGCCGACGGCUCCAAGCGAUGGGUGCUCGCCAAGCAGCCCAACCUGUUCUACACCUCGUGGAGCCCCAGCGAGAGCGGGGUGGUGUUCACCUCCGCUGGCCCAAUCUUCGAGACCCCGAAAGCGACGGUCCGGGUGGCGCGCAUCGAGUUCGACACGAGCGACCUCACCGACGACCGCGGCGACGUCGACGUGGCCGUGAAAGAGCUGACCCGGCCGGAGGCAGGCAACGACGCGUUCCCGGCGGUGUCGCCGUGCGGGCGGUGGGUGGUGUUCCGGUCCGGCCGGUCGGGCCACAAGAACCUCUACAUCGUCGACGCGGCGCGCGGGGAGGAGACGAUACGGAGGGUCACCGAGGGCGAGUGGAUCGACACGAUGCCGAGCUGGUCGCCGGACGGGAAGCUGAUCGCGUUCUCCUCCAACCGGCACGAGCCGGCCAACGCCGCCGUGUUCAGCAUCUACCUGAUGCGGCCGGACGGGACAGGGCUGCGGCGGGUGCACGUGGCCGGGCCGCCGGGGAGCGCGGAGGCGGACAAGGAGCGGAUCAACCACGUGUGCUUCAGCCCGGACGGCGAGUGGCUGCUCUUCACGGCCAACCUGGGCGGCGUCAUGGCCGAGCCCAUCUCGGGACCGAACCAGUUCCAGCCGUACGGCGACCUGUACGUGUGCCGGCUCGACGGCUCCGGUGUGCUCAGGCUCACCAGCAACGCCUACGAGAACGGCACGCCGAUGUGGGGGCCGGCGCUGGGCGUGGAGUCGCUGUCGCUGGGCGCUCCCGCCGCGGACGAUUCGCUGGGCGAGUUCGACGAGCCGCUUUGGCUCAGCUGCGACGUGUGA